GACGAACGCUGGCGGCGUGCUUAACACAUGCAAGUCGAGCGGUAAGGCCCCUUUUGGGGGGUACACGAGCGGCGAACGGGUGAGUAACACGUGGGUGACCUGCCUUCAGCUCUGGGAUAAGCCUGGGAAACUGGGUCUAAUACCGGAUAUGACCUUUGCCUGCAUGGGUGGGGUGGAAANUUUGUUUGGCUGGGGAUGGGCCUGCGGUCUAUCAGCUUGUUGGUGGGGUGAUGGCCUACCAAGGCGACGACGGGUAGCCGGCCUGAGAGGGCGACCGGCCACACUGGGACUGAGACACGGCCCAGACUCCUACGGGAGGCAGCAGUGGGGAAUAUUGCGCAAUGGGCGGAAGCC
rnacentral:rRNA from 1 species